rnacentral:lncRNA from 1 species
AACUCUUCAUUGUCGGCUAGGAGCUGAGCGUUUAUGGCCGCUUGAUCUUGACCUACAUCUCCCAUAGUUUCUCUGAAAAGGUACUCAAAGAAAAUUUAGAGGCAAGAGGGAUUAAAUAGUAGCUUGGGGUUGGAUACUUGAGUAUCGACCAAGGCUAAAAGUAAAUGCUAAAAUUUAUGAAUAAAAUCGAAUCAAGUUGAAAAAGGAAAGAUGAAUAAUUUUUUUUGAUUUUCGAAAACUUGGAA